UAAAGUGGCGUACGGGUGAGUAACACGUGGAUCAUCUACCUCUUAGUGGGGAAUAACUCUGGGAAACCGGAGCUAAUACCGCAUAAGCCUGGAAAGGGAAAGUCGCAAGACGCUGAGAGAGGAGUCCGCGGCCGAUUAGCUAGUUGGCAGGGUAAAAGCCUACCAAGCCUGUGAUCGAUAGCCGGCCUGAGAGGGCACACGGCCACACUGGCACUGAAACACGGGCCAG
rnacentral:rRNA from 1 species